UACAGAGGUCUCAAGCGUUGUUCGGAUUCAUUGGGCGUAAAGGGUGUGUAGGUGGCUCGCUAAGUCGGGUGUGAAAUUUCGGAGCUUAACUCCGAAACUGCAUUCGAUACUGGCGUGCUUGGGGACUGGAGAGGAGACUGGAAUUCAUGGUGUAGCAGUGAAAUGCGUAGAGAUCAUGAGGAAGACCAGUGGCGAAGGCGGGUCUCUGGGCCACUACUGACGCUGAGAAGCGAAAGCAUGGGGAGCGAACAGG
rnacentral:rRNA from 1 species